GAUGAACGCUGGCGGCGUGCCUAAUACAUGCAAGUCGAGCGAACAGAUGAGGAGCUUGCUCCUCUGACGUUAGCGGCGGACGGGUGAGUAACACGUGGAUAACCUACCUAUAAGACUGGGAUAACUUCGGGAAACCGGAGCUAAUACCGGAUAAUAUAUUGAACCGCAUGGUUCAAUAGUGAAAGACGGUUUUGCUGUCACUUAUAGAUGGAUCCGCGCCGCAUUAGCUAGUUGGUAAGGUAACGGCUUACCAAGGCAACGAUGCGUAGCCGACCUGAGAGGGGGGUCGGCCACACGAGAACGGAGACACGGAACAGACUACUACGGGAGGCAGCAGUAGGGAAUCGUCCGCAAUAGGCGAAAGUCUGACAGAGCAAGGGCGCGUGAGAGAUAAAAGUCUUCGGAUCGUAAAACUCUGUUAUUAGGGAAAAACAAAUGUGGAAGUAACUAUGCACGGCUUGACGGUACCUAAUCAGAAAGCCACGGCUAACUACGUG
rnacentral:rRNA from 1 species